rnacentral:rRNA from 1 species
UGCAAGUCGAACGGUGAUGGCCAGCUUGCUGGUCUGAUCAGUGGCGAACGGGUGAGUAACACGUGAGCAACCUACCCUUCACUCUGGGAUAAGCCCUGGAAACGGGGUCUAAUACCGGAUAUGAGACGUACAGGCAUCUGUAGCGUCUGGAAAGAUUUAUCGGUGGGGGAUGGGCUCGCGGCCUAUCAGCUUGUUGGUGGGGUAGUGGCCUACCAAGGCGACGACGGGUAGCCGGCCUGAGAGGGCGACCGGCCACACUGGGACUGAGACACGGCCCANACUCCUACGGGAGGCAGCAGUGGGGAAUAUUGCACAAUGGGCGCAAGCCUGAUGCAGCGACGCCGCGUGAGGGAUGACGGCCUUCGGGUUGUAAACCUCUUUCAGCAGGGAAGAAGCGCAAGUGACGGUACCUGCAGAANAAGCGCCGGCUAACUACGUGCCAGCAGCCGCGGUAAUACGUAGGGCGCAAGCGUUGUCCGGAAUUAUUGGGCGUAAAGAGCUCGUAGGCGGUUUGUCGCGUCUGCUGUGAAAACCUAAGGCUCAACCUUGGGCUUGCAGUGGGUACGGGCAGACUAGAGUGCGGUAGGGGUGACUGGAAUUCCUGGUGUAGCGGUGGAAUGCGCANAUAUCAGGAGGAACACCGAUGGCGAAGGCAGGUCACUGGGCCGCAACUGACGCUGAGGAGCGAAAGCAUGGGGAGCGAACAGGAUUAGAUACCCUGGUAGUCCAUGCCGUAAACGUUGGGCACUAGGUGUGGGGCUCAUUCCACGAGUUCCGUGCCGCAGCAAACGCAUUAAGUGCCCC